GCGACCCCAGCUCAAGCGAGAACACCCGCUGAGUUUAAGCAUAUAAUUAAGCGGAGGAAAAGAAACUUACGAG
rnacentral:rRNA from 5 species